GACAGAGGGUGCGAACGUUGCUCGGAAUCACUGGGCGUAAAGAGCGUGUAGGCGGCCAGACAGGUCCGUUGUGAAAACUCGAGGCUCAACCUCGAGACGCCGAUGGAAACCGUCUGGCUAGAGUCCGGAAGAGGAGAGUGGAAUUCCUGGUGUAGCGGUGAAAUGCGCAGAUAUCAGGAAGAACACCCGUGGCUAAGGCGGCUCUCUGGGACGGUACUGACGCUGAGACGCGAAAGCGUGGGGAGCAAACAGG
rnacentral:rRNA from 1 species